rnacentral:tRNA from 2 species
GCGAGGAUGGCGGAAUUGGUAGACGCGCUAGACUUAGGAUCUAGUACCGCAAGGUGUGUGGGUUCAAGUCCCAUUCCUCGCACCA